rnacentral:rRNA from 1 species
AUACGGAGGGUGCAAGCGUUGUUCGGAAUCACUGGGCGUAAAGGGCGCGCAGGCGGUUUGGUAAGUCAGAUGUGAAAGCCCACGGCUCAACCGUGGAAGUGCAUUUGAAACUGCCAGACUUGAGUACCAGAGGGGAAAGUGGAAUUCCCGGUGUAGAGGUGAAAUUCGUAGAUAUCAGGAGGAAUACCGGUGGCGAAGGCGACUUUCUGGCUGGAUACUGACGCUGAGGCGCGAAAGCGUGGGGAGCAAACAGGAUUAGAUACCCUAGUAGUCC